AUUUUUUGCUACCAAUGAGUACAUUGCUCCUGUUAACCUGGUUUGCAAUUUCAGUUAACAUUGAAUGUUGAUAGAUGGUAACAAACUAUUGUUGCUUCUUUAAGACCAUGGAUUUGGAUUACAUUUGUCUUGAUUAAUGUUGAGGUCGGUCAGGUUGUGUUUUACAAUAAAAAAAUAAAAAAAAUAUAGAGGUGUGAGGGAGCCAUUUACAAGUGGAGAUUUUUGGGAGUGGAUUUUCGGAUAAACAUCACGGAAGAAUCUUUCACAUGUUUGCUUUGAGAAUUUAGGAGUUACGAAGAUAUGCUAUUUUUUGUAUGUAGAAAAAAUGGAAAAUAGUGAGUUAUGAAGAAGAAGAUGAUGCUAUUUUUUGGAUGUAAAAAUAAUGGAAACUGGUAGAGUUAUGGAGAAGAUGAUGUUUUUUUUUUCUUUUUAAUUCUUUAAUAUGCCUUUUUUUAAUUGGUUCGAUUUUUUAUGUUUAAUUUUUUUUUAUUUUAUGAAUUAUCGUCUCUCACUCUCCUACUUGAGAGUAUAUUAGACAUGCCACGCCAUGUCAGCGCCACAUUAGCAAUUGUGUUCAAUUGAAAUGUUUUAUGAAGGAGUAAAGGAUUCAAUAGGUACCUGACCUAAUUGAGGUACCUAUACGAAAAAAGUCGAAUAUUUGAGGGGUCUGUAUAUGUAUUUAGCCUUAAUAUUAAGUAAUGAAUAUUUAAAGGUUAACAUAGAGGAAAAGAGUUGCUAAUAAUUAUCCUUUGAACAGUCUAGCUUUCCAAGAAUAAUUCUAAACAACGUUUUAAGGCGACUAAUCCUUGGUCUAAUUAAACUCAUUAAUGGAGAGAAAAAACCUGGACUUUUCGGUGAGUCAUUACACUAUCUUCUUAGAAAAUUACAGUAUUAACCAUUAGAUCAUUUAAUUUACAAGAUAUUUACGCACAAAGUAUAUAGGGAGUGCUUACUUUAUAUAAAAUAUUUAUAAGCUAUACAUAUAAUAUACAUACCUAUACUCAAUAUAUACAUGGAUUGGCCUAAGGAUAUAUAUCUGUAGCUUUCUGAUAUAUAUCCAAACACAGUCUUGAUUGUCGUUGUAGUCAGCAUAAUAUCCAAAUUGGACAAAAGGAAGUUAUAGAAAGAACUUAUUUUUCCUUUUCUCUUUACGUUCUUUCAAACCUUAUCCUUGCACUGUUGGAGUUGGUGAUUAUCAUUAUACAAAUUCCAUAUGCAUUUGACUUUUUGGUUGUAUUUUAUGCUUCUGCAUUUAGUCUAAUUCUUUUAACCAUUCAUUAUACCUGGAUUUACUUCUCUAAUCUAGAUUACCAAACAACUCUUUAAUAUAUGCACAAAAUUUAGUUACAACUUUUACUUCAAGAGCCAAUACUGAGCAGGUAAUUAGAAACUCUUUUUUGUCUUUUUUUUUGUACCAACUGUAAAUGAUUACCAUAACAAACCAAUUCAGUACAAGUAAAGAUGUAACACCCGCACUUUCGGAUUAAAGUUUGAACCUUCUUUUCUACACGUAUAGAUCCGAACCUAAUGAUUCUUUGUUAAUAUAUUUGUGAUAAUCAAUCCUAUAGUGUUUGAAUACCUUUGACUAUGAAUUGAGGUCAUAAAAUCUCCCAACUCAAAGACGAGUUGAAAACUUCCUAUCGAUUAAGUUUUAGUGAACUUCUAAACUUGGGUAUACUUCUAUCGACCAUAACAUUUUGUAUAUAAAGAAGUAGGGGGCCUACUAUAUAUCAAAUGAAGGGCCUUUGAGUCCUCUUUCCAACGCCACCGAUUUCGCCUUAAUCCGAUAUCAAAAAAAAAAUUAUGCCCGUUUUCCAGAGAUGUGUCAGUCGAGUCUGAAUCGCGCAAAAAGUAAGCUUUUAUCGGGGUAUUUUGGUAUUUUUCCUUCCCAGAAACCUCUCACACUAAUUAAAUAACACCCUAAGCGUUAUUUAUUAAACUAUUAUAAGUUUUACAAUAUAUCAAAUUCUCUUCACUCUCAAGAAUAACAAGAUCAAAUUAAAUUAAGUUUCCUCCAAGAACAAAAAAUCAAGAAUCUAAUCCUUUCAAUUCAAGAUUCUCAAGAAACGAGUCAAGAUUCGGGUCCUAUUCUUCAACCUAAGUAAUCUAAGGAUUCUGAGAUACAGUCCCGGGGUACCGUUAAGCAGUAGAAUGACUUGUCAGAAGUUUGCAGCUGGUGAGCCUCUCUUACUUCGGAAGGCCUGAUUAUGAAACUUUUCAUUGUUAUUUUAUUUUGAUUCAUGGUCCGACUCAGGGUCUUGUCCCAGAUUUCAAACAGAUGUCAUUUUCAGUUGUUAGAGAUUUCGCAUACUAGUGUUAGGUGUUUUGAAUGUUUUAUUAACUCAUUUUUUUUAAUUGUUCAGUUAAAGAAAAAGAUAGUGACCAUGUUUCCGUCUUGUGUUGUUUUUCCGCUAAUUUAUUAUAUUGUAUGAAUGUUGUGCAUGAUUACCGGAUAGAGAAGGGGCGCCCGGACCUUCAUAGUUCGGGAUGCUCGUUACGGCCAGGGCACCGGCUUGGAUCGUGACAAAUGAGCACCUCAUCUAUGCGACAGGUACAAGGCCUCCAACAAACAAAUCAGAAAAAACAGACCACUAAACUAUACUAAUUGUCUAACUGUUCGAAUCCACACCCUACACUGUUGUGCUCUCUUUGAACUGUUAUACAUAUUAAUCCUCUCCACUGAUUUCUUCUUGAUCAAUGUAGCUGCCUUUGUUGUAUGUACAGUUUUACCUUUAUACCUUCUUCAGUUUCUAGCGCUCCAAGAGUGAUCGAUUAUUGAUCCA